AGCUUUGGUUCGCCUUUGUUAAUGGAUUUUCUGGGCAGAUCUUAUUUGAGCGCUGGUGCAUCGGCUUGUACAAUGUGAUCUUCACCGCGUUGCCGCCCUUCACUCUGGGAAUCUUUGAGAGGUCUUGUACUCAGGAGAGCAUGCUGAGGUUUCCACAGCUCUACAAAAUCACCCAGAAUGCAGAAGGCUUCAACACUAAGGUUUUCUGGGGUCACUGCAUCAAUGCCUUGGUCCACUCCCUCAUCCUCUUCUGGCUUCCCAUGAAAGUACUGGAGC